rnacentral:rRNA from 1 species
UACAGAGGUGGCAAGCGUUGUUCGGAAUUACUGGGCGUAAAGGGCUCGUAGGUGGCCAACUAAGUCAGACGUGAAAUCCCUCGGCUUAACCGGGGAACUGCGUCUGAUACUGGAUGGCUUGAGUUUGGGAGAGGGACGCGGAAUUCCAGGUGUAGCGGUGAAAUGCGCAGAUAUCGGGAGGAACACCGAUGGCGAAGGCGGUUCUCUGGGCCUUACCUGACGCUGAGGAGCGAAAGCAUGGGGAGCGAACAGG